rnacentral:lncRNA from 1 species
AGAUGCUUUCGAGAAAAUUUAUAAAAUAAGUCAAAAAAUCAAAUGGGAUUCUUAGAUUCUUAACCCUUCGAUGCUUAAGUCAGUUCGAGUCUCGAGAAUAGGAGGUGAAAAAGAGUAGUAGGGCACAAGGAGAGAAUUUGGAUGGAACUAGAGAAGUUGGAUUAGGUAAAAAUUAGAGUCCUUAUUCAAGAACUUGCAAAGUUCAUACCAGUAUAGUCUCACUCUAAUUUUUUGGAGUUAGAACUUAUCAUUGGAGAAUUCCUGGGCCUCUAUU